UGUUUGAUGUUCUAACGUGGACCCGUGAUCCGGGUUGCGGACAGUGUCUGGUGGGUAGUUUGACUGGGGCGGUCUCCUCCUAAAGAGUAACGGAGGAGCACGAAGGUUGGCUAAUCCUGGUCGGACAUCAGGAGGUUAGUGCAAUGGCAUAAGCCAGCUUGACUGCGAGCGUGACGGCGCGAGCAGGUGCGAAAGCAGGUCAUAGUGAUCCGGUGGUUCUGAAUGGAAGGGCCAUCGCUCAACGGAUAAAAGGUACUCCGGGGAUAACAGGCUGAUACCGCCCAAGAGUUCAUAUCGACGGCGGUGUUUGGCACCUCGAUGUCGGCUCAUCACAUCCUGGGGCUGAAGUAGGUCCCAAGGGUAUGGCUGUUCGCCAUUUAAAGUGGUACGCGAGCUGGGUUUAGAACGUCGUGAGACAGUUCGGUCCCUAUCUGCCGUGGG
rnacentral:rRNA from 1 species